rnacentral:misc_RNA from 1 species
GAAAUGCGAUUAGUAAUCUGAAUUGCAGAAUUCAGUGAAUCAUCGAAUCUUUGAACGCACCUUGCGCUCCUUGGUAUUCCUUGGAGCAUGCCUGUUUGAGUAUCAUGAAAUCUUCAAAGUAAAUCUUUUGUUAACUCAAUUGGUUUCUACUUUGGUAUUGGAGGUCUUUGCAGCUUCACACCUGCUCCUCUUUGUUCAUUAGCUGGAUCUCAGUGUUAUGCUUGGUUCCACUCGGCGUGAUAAGUUAUCUAUCGCUGAGGACACUGUAAAAGGUGGCCAAGGUAAAUGCAGAUGAACCGCUUCUAAUAGUCCAUUGACUUGGACAAUACUUUUAUGAUCUGAUCUCAAAUCAGGUAGGACUACCCGCUGAACUUAAGC